UACGCGAAGAACCUUACCUGGGCUUGACAUGUUCCUGACCGCCGUGGAAACACGGCUUCCCUUCGGGGCAGGAUCACAGGUGGUGCAUGGCUGUCGUCAGCUCGUGUCGUGAGAUGUUGGGUUAGGUCCCGCAACGAGCGCAACCCCCGUCGUAUGUUGCCAGCAUUUAGUUGGGGACUCAUGCGAGACUGCCGGUGACAAACCGGAGGAAGGUGGGGAUGACGUCAGGUCAUCAUGCCCCUUAUGUUCAGGGCUACACACGUGCUACAUUGGCGCGUACAGAGGGCUGCAAGACCGCGAGGUGGAGCGAAUCCCUUAAAGCGCGUCUCGGUUCGGAUUGCAGGCUGAAACUCGCCUGCAUGAAGGUGGAGUUGCUAGUAAUCGCGGAUCAGCAUUGCCGCGGUGAAUACGUUCCCGGGUCUUGUACACACCG
rnacentral:rRNA from 1 species